AGGACUGACUGUUAUUGUUGGUGAUACUCAAGUAUCCAUAUUGACACAAGUAUAAAAAAUUAUAAUUAAUUUCAGGCCCAUGUACUGUCUGCACACACUCAGGAACCCAGAAACACACAAACCUGCCAAAUGCAAUUAAUUAUGUGACAUUCCAGACCAGGAGAAGGACUUGGGGGAGAGUUUACAUAUUAUUUGGGUUGCAAACUGCCCAUUUUCCAUUAAAACACUCACAAUAUUUCAGGAUGAGGGUUUGUCAUAAAUCUUAGUGCUACAGUAGGAAGCUUUAGAAGAUGGCAUAAAUCAUCACUGCUGAAGUUCCCAGUUAAACUGUAACUUAUUGUUGUUCCACUGUUGCUUUUGCCUUUUCACAGCCAUCCUGUACACUUCUUGCAUCCUAGUGGGCAUUUUUAUCAACAGCAGUGUGCCAAUUUUCUUUGAGCUUUUUAUCGAGACAGUUUAUCCAGUCCCUGAAGGCAUCACCUGUGGAGUGGUCACUUUCUUGGGGAACCUGGUCACUGGCCUGCUCCUCUUCUUCCUCACCUUUUACUGUACAGAACUGUCAUGGCUAAACUGGUGUCUAACAGGCUCCUGUCUCUUCAGUCUUGUCCUCAUCCUCUUCUUCAGGGAGUCAUACGACCGCCUCUACCUGGAUGUCUUUGUCUCCGUGUGACACUGCAGAGGACAAAAACAAGACAACUUAAUAACCAAGGGACUAAAUAAAUUAUUCUUGCACAAAGGAGAGGAGAAAAGGGAGAUGAGGGGAAAGUGGAAACCCCACACUCUUUUAAGAAAUAAGAUUUUAGUUUGUAAAUGUAUAUGUGUAUUGUAUGGCUGCUGAGAAGAACCACAAAGCGAUUCUACAUCAGUGUUUACUCUUUAUACAUAUUCGACUCAAUGCCAUAUGACUGUCUAACACAUCAUUACCUGUUUUUAUGUUUGUGUUUGUAUGUAAUUUUUUUAAAACCAGGCACAACAUGAUGGACUGUUAGUUGUUGUUGCUAACAGAUGAUGUAAUAUUUUAAGUUAUUCUCAGUGUGGCUUCUCCAUUCACCUUCACAGUGUGGCUUCUCCAUUUUAUCAUCUCUAAAAUAAGCUGGACACUGUCAAAGCUCACAAGUUGGAUGUCAAGUGUUGUCCUCUAAUGAGGAAAUGAGGGAUGAGACGGCUUCAUCAGCCAAUCACAGCCUGGCUGUGCUGGCGUAACACUCUUAAGUGACCUGUGAAACUGCCUGUCAUUGAGAGGCAGAUACUUAUGUUUUAUCACCUUCUCAAGACAAAUAUGCAAAACCUAUCUAGAUUGAUGAUUUGAUGCUGGCUAGAGAUGUGCACUGGGAUUGGAUAAGCCUGCGUUUUUUUUCCCACCAAUGAACUGUCCAUGUGGAGCUGUUACACCCUCACACUACAGAUGUUAUUCAGCCAACUUAAUUGUGUCAAUUUCUGGAAGAUUUACUUUUUAAUCUAAGUGAAUAAUGUUAAUUACUUUUAUUUUUUUCAACAAUUUUUAAUCAUCAGUUUUCCUCAGCAACCUGCCAGUAUUUAUUGGAAAUGUCAUCCUGGUCCAAACAUCCUAUGUCACAGAAACAUAUGAGGAUUACAUUGCAUUGUAAUUGCCAAGCUGCCCCUCCUCCAAAAGCACCAGCAGGUGUCACCAGCUCCAAGUCUAGAUAGACAUAUUAAUAAAGAAACACAUAAGGGCAAACGAAAAAACAUCUGUCACUUAUAGACAAACAUUUCUCUAACUUGUCCAUGACAUUUUUGUGUCUGUCUUUUGCAUAGUAGCUACAAGUGUUUCAUUUCCUGUGGGUUUUGAGAAGGCUCUGUAAUGUGUUUCCUGGUGCUUGUUUUUUUUUUUUUUUUUUUUACUCUCCCUGUACAGAAAAGGUUGUCUUUUACCUUUUGACGUGUUGCCUUAAUUGCCCAGUGCAGUGCGUUCAGUCUCCCUCUCUUCCACACUGUGACUAUUUUGUCUGUAUAUAUUGUUAAAGAUUAUGUUCUUCUGUUCAGCAUGUCACACUCCUGGGCUUUGGGUUCUAAAUGUCCUUGUUCUGUGGAAAGGAGAAAGAACUAAUGUGACUCAAUCAAUAUUUCCAGCACCUUAUUAAAAAGAACAUUUUAAAAAUAA